GAUGAACGCUGGCGGCGUGCCUAAUACAUGCAAGUCGAGCGAACGGACGAGAAGCUUGCUUUUCUGAUGUUUGCGGCGGACGGGUGAGUAACACGUGGAUAACCUACCUAUAAGACUGGGAUAACUUCGGGAAACCGGAGCUAAUACCGGAUAAUAUUUUGAACCGCAUGGUUCAAAAGUGAAAGACGGUCUUGCUGUCACUUAUAGAUGGAUCCGCGCUGCAUUAUCGAGUUGGUAAGGUAACGGCUUACCAAGGCAACGAUGCAUAGCGGACCUGAGAGGGUGAUCGGCCACACUGGAACGGAGACACGGUCCAGACUCCUACGGGAGGCAGCAGUAGGGAAUCUUCCGAAAUGGGCGAAAGCCUGACGGAGCAACGCCGCGUGAGUGAUGAAGGUCUUCGGAUCGUAAAACUCUGUUAUUAGGGAAGAACAUAUGUGUAAGUAACUGUGCACAGCUUGACGGUACCUAAUCAGAAAGCCACGGCUAACUACGUG
rnacentral:rRNA from 1 species